rnacentral:lncRNA from 1 species
UCUCCUAGCCUAAAGUCAUCCCGGGAAGCGCUUUCCUUUUGACAGAAGGGAGCUGAUUCGCUAGUUGGUAGACCAGGGAAGAGGAGAAAUCCAAACGUCUUAUAAAAGGUCUGGGGCGUUUUGUGGGAAGGGAGUCAUGGAGAAAUAAAUAAAAUAUCAGUUGGAAGUUUGCGAGCUUGUGGAUAUCCAUCCCACGACUGGAAAGGCAGUGGAAGGGACGAAGGACAGAACGGAAACGAAGCGAUCGGGACCUGGGGACUUGGAGAGGAAAGGGCGAACGCCUAAAGGCUGCUGUGGAUCUGAGGAACUCCGGGCCAACCUUAGACUCGGGUACGGAAAAGGCGAAAACCACGGAAACUGUACUUACUUUCGGAGGGGAAGUGGGACGGCAUGUCGAUUUUAUAAACCUCCUUGGCGUAGUACUCCUCGUCGCUUCGCUCGCGCUCGCAGGCGGCUGCCCUCCGGCUUGCCUUCUCCUGCAGCAGCCAAGGGCGACAGAGAUCAGCCACCUCCUUAACCCCCAGUGGAACAACACCGCCUCCUGGGCGCGUUAGCUGCAAGCAGUCCCCGGACUCACACCCUUCUCUAGCUUUUCCUCCAAGCUUGCACUUUCUCGCUUAGGGUCAGCUCCAGAUGGAAACAGGUCUCUGGGUUAGACCACCGCCUAGGAUUCUGUAAUCUGAAACAGAACUGAUCGAGAGCUACUGUGCGGCUGAUGGUCCCAUCAGCUGGAGUCGUCCUGUGAGUCC